GCCCGUGAAGGAUGUGGGCACUCCACUUCGUGUCUGCUCUGUCCUGACUUCUAACAUGGUGUGACCUCUUACCCCGAGCUCUUGAUAUCAUACUUUCCCCUUCGUGAUGGCUUUUCCUCGUCCCUACCUUCUGAGCCCCCUCAGCAGCAUGGAGGACCACUGGGAGGCAGCUGCCUCUACCCAGGGCUUCUGCUUGGCUCCGCCUGCUAGAACAUUCAUCUCAUACCCAUCAUGAUUCCAAGCAGAACAUCCCUGGACUCUGCCCACAAAAUCCCGGCCCCUCCCUAGUGCUGACCUCUGGGCAGUUCCUCCAGCCACAUCUGUUCUCCAUGUUUCCCCACUGUCUGCCUCGUGCGGCUCCACCCCACAUUAAUCACUGCCUUCUCUGGCGAAUAAAGCAUUCUGCU